CACGUAGGGGGCGAGCGUUGUCCGGAUUUAUUGGGCGUAAAGAGCUCGUAGGCGGUUUGGCAAGUCGGGUGUGAAAUUUCGAGGCUCAACCUCGAAACGCCACUCGAUACUGUCAUGACUGGAGUCCGGUAGAGGAGUGUGGAAUUCCUGGUGUAGCGGUGAAAUGCGCAGAUAUCAGGAGGAACACCAACGGCGAAGGCAGCACUCUGGGCCGGUACUGACGCUGAGGAGCGAAAGCGUGGGGAGCAAACAGG
rnacentral:rRNA from 1 species